rnacentral:tRNA from 1 species
GGGAAAAGUGGGUCGUAGUUGGACUUCUAAUCUUGAUUAUAAGCAGUUCGACUCUGUUUUUUUCUCU